GCGCCCAUAGCUCAGGGGACAGAGCAACUGCCUUCUAAGCAGUAGGUCGCAGGUUCAAAUCCUGCUGGGCGCG
rnacentral:tRNA from 1 species